GAGACAGCAGCCGCCGCGGGAAUACGAAGGGGGCUAGCGUUGUUCGGAAUUACUGGGCGUAAAGCGCACGUAGGCGGAUAUUUAAGUCAGGGGUGAAAUCCCGCAGCUCAACUGCGGAACUGCCUUUGAUACUGGGUAUCUCGAGUCCGGAAGAGGUGAGUGGAAUUCCGAGUGUAGAGGUGGAAUUCGUAGAUAUUCGGAGGAACACCAGUGGCGAAGGCGGCUUACUGGUCCGGUACUGACGCUGAGGUGCGAAAGCGUGGGGAGCAAACAGGAUUAGAGACCCCUGUAGUCCCUGUCUCUUAUAC
rnacentral:rRNA from 1 species